rnacentral:lncRNA from 1 species
CCCCACCCUGCCUUUUGACCUUGCUGGGGGCAUUGUUCAAGUUUACUUAUAGGACUAGGCACAUUCACGUUCCUCUUAUUGUACCUACUGUCUUCCAACUCUGGUCCUUACUCAACCUAGAGAACUUCCCUCUAACUGUCCUUUCCGAAAAUCAGUAUUGGUGGCCAUCGGUUAGGAGCUCUGUGAAGGUUGUGGCGUUUUUUGCUAUAUCCGUAUAUCGUUCGACAGUAGUCUGUAUGCCGCAGACAGUAUGGCGUGAAGGAUUGUGACUUGUGUGUCAGUCUCAGUUGUGAUUCCAACCUUGAUGGCAGUUCGUAACAUUAAAUGCUACUCUGCCUUCUGAUUAAUUCUUCUAGAGAGGUACACAAUUUUGUUCGUCGUCGUUACUUCAAUUAACAUCAUGGGUUCUUUAUCUGUCACAAUGAAGCGGAAG